UCUUCAGACUUCUUCUGACGAUAAAAAUUCCUCUUACUCUUAAAUACUUCAAUUCCCUUUCCUCUUCGUCUUCCAGAUUUGCUUCAUCUCCUUCACGUUUCCGUACUCUUCUUUCUCCCAAUAUGAAAACGAAAAAUCUUAUUUUGCAAAUCUAAAAGUGCAAUUGAGGCAGAGAGAUUGAACGAGCAUAAACGACGACUAAGGGAGGGGUCUAUCGGAAUCAUCACGAUGAAGAAGAAGAAGACGAGAAUCUUCGUACAGUCUGUCUGUUCUUACACUAAUCCUUUUGAUCUCUUCAGCGAAGGUGAUGAAGAUCUUCACUCCGAAAAGUUUUACAGCAUAUCCGACCCUGAGAUAGGAAUGUCCUGUUGAAGCGACGCUCUUACUUGAGACACAGGCGAUUAUGUUACAACUACAAAUGAAAAUAACCAAAGAGGCAUGAGACAAGGUGACCAAUGGGACAACAGCUUUGACCAAACUCCGGUUCGAGUAGGAGGAUGAAGGUGUACUUAUCACAGUAACUGAAGAAAUCUCCAUCUUGAAAGAAAUGCAGCAGAACAACAUUUUCAAGAUGUAGUGCCCAGCGAGAAGCGUUUAUAUUUGGUUUUCGAGUAUCUGGACUUGGAUCUCAAAAAGCACAUGGACUCCUGUCCUGAAUUCUCGAAGGAUCUACAUAUGAUCAAAACAUAUCUUUACCAGAAUCCCGUGGAAUUACGUAUUGCCACUGUCACAUGGUUCUUCAUCAUGAUCUAAAGUCACAAAUUUUGUUGACUGAUCGCCACACGAACUCACUAAUACUUGUAGAUUUUGGACUGCCCAGAGCAUUCGGUAUCCAUGUCAGGACAUUUACUUAUGAGGAGAUAGGAUUAGAUGAUGAGGCUAUAGUUGAGAAGUAGGAUGAAGACGCUGAUAAUGUAGAACCGGUUUCAAAGAAUAAGUCCAAGAAAAUGAAAAAGAAGAAAAGCAAAGAAAGUUAUUAUAAUGUGGCAAAAGCUCAAAUCACUUUGGAUGAAACUUUAGAAGCACUUUCUGUCGAUGCUAACUCUAAGCAAGAAAUGUUUGAGGAAACAAAAGCACAUUCUGAUUCUGCGAAAUAGAUCCCAAGUAUUGAAAUAUUCAAAACGAGUUGAGGAGAAUGUAUGGUUCAAAGGUCGUUACAUUUGUUAGGUACCUUCAUAAGGCACAUACAAGAAUAAACAUUUGUUCUCCUUUUUGGAUUUGUGAGGCGUUCCCAAGGAUGACAACUUUAAGAGUUUGUUUUAUAGUUAGCUCAUUGUUCAUCUUGGGCAUUUUAAAU